rnacentral:lncRNA from 1 species
GAUUUUUCUUUAAUGAAAAGGAUUCGUUUUUCCAAAUUCUAUUUCCAAAGCCGAGGAGAUUGCCGGGCUGGAGCGCAUCGUUGGUGACGCUUGCCCGUCGGACCCUGGCAGCGGCUGGAGGAGGCUCAGCCCAUCGGUCCGUCCGGAGGGGCUUGCGGGAGGGGUUGGUUUGUUUGGGAUUUAGGGGUUGGUUGAGGAUUUGUUUUGUUUAGGUAGGGAGUAUUGGGGUGAUAAGUUAGAACAACUGCGAAACGAGUUAGCGGGCGCAUUCGGCCGGCCUCUUCUUUCACCCCCGACUUCAUGCGGCUUGGGCUGAGGGCGGACCACAUUCGGCCCCGCCGCUGCGUGCCGGCUUCGUUCCGGCCGAAAUUUGAAAGGAGGAAAAACGACGCGAUCGACUGAAGGACCCUGCCGGCCGGGACUGGUCACCCGCAGAGAAGGAAGAAGGACGAGGAUGCGGAUGGCGGCGCUGGUGGCAGGGACCGGCGUCUCUGUGCGCGCGGGCCGGGACCGCGAUCCUCGCGCUGGGGCCAGCCAGCCGCCGCCCCGAGAGGUCUCGCCCGCGCUGAGCCCUGUCCCUGGGGCCCCCGCCCCUGUUGCGCCCGGAGCUCAGCCACAGAUGUCCAGCCACAAUUCUCGGUUGGCCGCAGACUCGUACAAGAAUUGCGUUUGGACAAUCAGUGGCGAAGCCCCUGAGUUCAGGGCCCUGGUCUCCUGCGGGGUUCCCCUUCGCUCCUAAAAAGCGCCAGUCCAGGACAGCUCGGAGCUGCGCGUCGGACCACCUAGCAGGCGCUCAGCAGCGGCUGCCCAUCCGGCGCUGCAUGGAAACCAAAGGCCUCUGGAGCCCCCUCCCUAGGCCCCUGCCCAGGGGCUUCCACUGGAGGGUGAGGGGGAACAGUCUGGAAGUCAGAGGGUCACCCCCUGAGAAGACCAUGCUGAAGGAUAAAGGAGAAGGGGGUACAGUCCCCACCCCUGGGCUGAGGAUGCCAUCCCUGGAGACCACACCCCACGCGGGAGCUGGAGCCUGCCCCCUCCCCCGACCAAGGACCAGAGCUUGAUUCCCAGGCUCCAGCAGGCUCCUGGGUACCUCGGGGCUAGCAGCAAGGGUGGGGGGAGGGGAGCAGGUGGGUGUGAGAGGGGCGUGGAAUCUGUGAAUGCUUGUCUUGUCAUUGUCUCUUCCAUUGGACAGUCCACCCAUCCAGGAGAGCAGGGGCUCUGUCCAAGGUCUAAUGCGCCCCCAGCCCCACCCCCAGCCUGGUCUGGCAGAGACGGUUCUCAGUCUAUUGGGUAAAUACAUAGCCAGCUUCUCACCCCCAAAGCCCAGCCUGUCUUUCCCAAUGAACCUCACACCCUAAAGUGGGAGUGUGUGGCCAUUUUUCCCAUACAGCCUGCCUUCCAUUCACCCCAGAGUUCUCCAAGCACCCAGAAUACCCCUGCCUCUGUCCUGGCACACCAAGCUGCCUUGCUCUGAAAUGCUCUCCUGUCCUCACAAUCUCUGGGUGGCCUUGCCACGUGCCCGGCUGAAUUGUGAAUAUCGGUUUGUCUGAGUCUCCUCCCUAGGACAGGAAACGGGUCCUACGGAUCUUUGUGCCUCCAGGGCCUAGUACAGUGCCCUCCCCCCAACCAAUCAUUAAAUAUCUGUGGGUGGUUGCACGCAUGCCCGGUGACUUUAAAAUGAGCCACAUAGACUUCUUGGAGUUUCUUAUAAAAGUUGAAAGAAUGUUGCUUGUGGGAGGUAAUUCUUGCAGCCCGGGUUUUACAGGGAGGGAGUCCUGCUAACCAGAUCCCAACUCCUGGGAAUGCUCCAUUUGGUAAUAAUAACAGCAAAGAGUGUAUUGUGUGCCAAGCACUAAGCUCUUUGAAGGUAGUAGCUCACUGAUUCCUCACAACAACCCUGGAAAGUAAGUGCUGUUAUCAGCCCCAUUUUACAGAUGAAGAAACUGCAGAGCCCUCCUUCCUUAGGCUCCUCCCUGGAGCUUCCAGCUGGAGAGGGAGGGGGAGCAUUCUGGAGGUCACAGGGUCACUCCCUGAGAAGACCAUGCUGGAGGAUAAGACAGAAGGCAUGCAGCCCCAAUCCCCAACCUCCAGAGACCGCACCCACUAGGGAUCUAGAAACCCAGAGCUUUAGGACUUGCUGCACACUCUAGUUUCCAAGCCUUUAUUUAGUGGGUACAGAGGGGAUGGAUGUAAAUGCACUUAAAACGGCUAGACCCAGGAGACACUCUGUGUCACCUUAUAUUAAUACAUUAUAAUCCAGUCCCAGCCCACCCCAGCCUGGCAUGAACACAACCAAGAUGGACUGGGCAACAAUAGUCUCUGAUUACCAGGUGCCAUGGCUGGUGUCCAUAAUCCCAACACUUUGGGAGGCCGAGGCUGGAGGCCAAGGCAGGAAGAUUGCUUGAAGCCUGAAGUUAAAUACCAGCCUGUGACAGGUGAGGUGACUCAUGCCUGUAAUCUCAGCACUUUGGGAGGCCGAGGCGGGCGGAUCACUUGAGCCCAGGAGUUCAAGACCAGCCUGGGCACAUGGCAAAACCCCAUCUCUACUAAAAACACAAAGAUAAGCCGUGUGUGGCGGCAAGCGCCUGUAAUCCCAGCUACACAGAAGGCUGAGAUAUGAGAAUCACUUAACCUGGCAGGUGGAGGUUGCAGUGAGCCUAGAUCGUGCCACUGCACUCCAGCCUGGGCAACAGAGAGACUUGGUCUCAAAAAAAAAAAAAAAAA